GAUGAACGCUGGCGGCGUGCCUAAUACAUGCAAGUCGAACGGGGAGUAGCAAUACUUCUAGUGGCGAACGGGUGAGUAACGCGUUGGUGACCUGCCCCGAAGUGUGGGAGUAACAGUCCGAAAGGAUUGCUAAUACCGCAUAGUGUCUAGAGGAUUAGAGGCCUGUAGACGAAAGGAGACAUUCGCUUCGGGAGGGACCUGCGUCCCAUCAGCUAGUUGGUAGGGUAACGGCCUACCAAGGCGAUGACGGGUAGGGGACCUGAGAGGGUGGCCCCCCACAAUGGAACUGAAACACGGUCCAUACACCUACGGGUGGCAGCAGUAGGGAAUAUUGCGCAAUGGGCGAAAGCCUGACGCAGCGACGCCGCGUGGGGGAUGAAGGUUUUUCGGAUUGUAAACCCCUUUCAUGAGGAAAGAUAAAGUGGGUAACCACUUAGACGGUACCUCAAGAAGAAGCCACGGUCUAACUUCGUGCCAGCAGCCGUCGGUAAAGUCUAGCAUG
rnacentral:rRNA from 1 species